UGGGGAAUAUUGGACAAUGGGCGCAAGCCUGAUCCAGCCAUGCCGCGUGAGUGAUGAAGGCCCUAGGGUUGUAAAGCUCUUUCACCGGUGAAGAUAAUGACGGUAACCGGAGAAGAAGCCCCGGCUAACUUCGUGCCAGCGGCCGCGGUAAUACGAAGGGGGCUAGCGUUGUUCGGAUUUACUGGGCGUAAAGCGCACGUAGGCGGACUUUUAAGUCAGGGGUGAAAUCCCGGGGCUCAACCCCGGAACUGCCUUUGAUACUGGAAGUCUUGAGUAUGGUAGAGGUGAGUGGAAUUCCGAGUGUAGAGGUGAAAUUCGUAGAUAUUCGGAGGAACACCAGUGGCGAAGGCGGCUCACUGGACCAUUACUGACGCUGAGGUGCGAAAGCGUGGGGAGCAAACAGG
rnacentral:rRNA from 1 species